rnacentral:rRNA from 1 species
AUGGUUUCGGCCAUGAAGCUGUCGGUCACCAUCGUCCUCCUCCUCUCAGGGCUCGUGGUGUUCGGGGAGACCGCGGACGCCAAGGCGAAGGCGCCGUGCGCCGUGGUGUGCUUCCAGGGAGGCCACAUCACCUGCGACAACUACCCCGGCCAGGAGCUCGACGGGUGCGACUGCGAGUGCGCGCCGGCCGACGGCAAGGGCUGCGUGCUCCACCUCGACGACGGCGUGACCCACACCAACUGCCGCACGCCCAAUAUGUAG